rnacentral:rRNA from 1 species
UGGGGAAUAUUGCACAAUGGGCGAAAGCCUGAUGCAGCAACGCCGCGUGAGUGAUGAAGGUCUUCGGAUUGUAAAGCUCUGUCUUUUGGGACGAUAAUGACGGUACCAAAGGAGGAAGCCACGGCUAACUACGUGCCAGCAGCCGCGGUAAUACGUAGGUGGCGAGCGUUGUCCGGAUUUACUGGGCGUAAAGGGUGCGUAGGCGGAUGUUUAAGUGAGAUGUGAAAUACCCGGGCUUAACUUGGGUGCUGCAUUUCAAACUGGAUAUCUAGAGUGCAGGAGAGGAGAAUGGAAUUCCUAGUGUAGCGGUGAAAUGCGUAGAGAUUAGGAAGAACACCAGUGGCGAAGGCGAUUCUCUGGACUGUAACUGACGCUGAGGCACGAAAGCGUGGGUAGCAAACAGGAUUAGAUACCCUGGUAGUCCACGCCGUAAA